rnacentral:rRNA from 1 species
UACGUAGGGGGCUAGCGUUGUCCGGAUUUAUUGGGCGUAAAGAGCGUGUAGGCGGCCAGGUAGGUCUGCUGUGAAAACUCGAGGCUCAACCUCGAGACGUCGGCGGAAACCAUCUGGCUAGAGUCCGGAAGAGGAGAGUGGAAUUCCCGGUGUAGCGGUGAAAUGCGCAGAUAUCAGGAGGAACACCGAUGGCGAAGGCAGGUCUCUGGGCCACUACUGACGCUGAGAAGCGAAAGCAUGGGGAGCGAACAGG